rnacentral:tRNA from 1 species
GCCCCGGUAGCUCAACUGGAUAGAGCAUCGGCCUUCUAAGCCGAGGGUUGCAGGUUCAAGUCCUGCUCGGGGCACCA